rnacentral:tRNA from 1 species
CGGCCCGGUAGGGGCCGGCGACGCCCCGGCGGGCGUCCUGGGCGCUCGCGAGGGACGGCGCGUCCCGCGCGUCGCCCGGCUCGACCGAGACGAC